GGGGGGGGGGGGGGGGGGUUGAACGGAUUAAAGAUGCAAUGCAUCACAAUCUUAUAUGAGCUUCAAAAAGUGCCCUAUAAUAUUGUCGGAACCAUAAAAUUGAUCAUGUUGUUAAGCUUUUCGUGCAGCUUCACUUCACACCAUAGGAUUCCCAAGAGAUCAUCAAUGAGGAGAGCCUAGUGAUAGGUACUUGAUUUGGAAUUGGCAGCACAAAUUAUGACCACAAGACAAGAUGUAAAUUCACCCUUCACAGUCUUCUUUGCAUAUGCUUUACUAAUGCCCUUCAUCAACUUCAUUUACUGAACCCAAGAUGCACCCAUAACCUUAGCCAUGAACGCAUAUCUGUCUGCAGCUUCAUCAAUCACUUUUUGUGUUGGUCUUCCAGCUCCAUGACCAGCCUUGCAUUCGAUCCUACUAAUGAUGGGAUUGCUCUGGGGACUCUUCUCCAAGCUUGUGCAUAGGACAUAUUGCAUGGUCGCCAAUAAUUUCAAAGAGUGCAGUGGCACCACUCGAUCGUCAUGAUCUGCUGUCAAUAGCAUAGUGGGCGGAUAUUGAGAUUCUUGAUUGGGAGAUUGUUCCCAUGGCCUUCUGACAUUAUGCAGUGGUGAGUACUUGAUUAGCCACUGAAACUCUUCCUCCUUCUCUGAGCAGCCAUAAUCAGAGGUCCAGGCGUGACCUAUGGUGAACUUGUGAAACCUAAGCAUAUCCAUAACACCAACAUGUGCAAGGGCACAGCCAAAGAGAUCAGGUCUCUGAUUGAUACAGGCUCCAACAAGAAGCCCACCAUUGCUUCCACCUUCGAUACACAACUUUUUGGGCCGAGUGUAACCAGCUUCCACAAGAUACUCAGCAGCAGAAAUGAAGUCGUCAAAGCAAUUUUGCUUUUUGGAAAGGGAGCCAGCUUUAUGCCAAUCUUCUCCAUAUUCUCCACCACCACGGAUAUUUGCAAUGCAGAAUACAACACCUAAAUGCUUCGCAAUCACUACACGACCAACAGAGAAGUACGGAGUAAUACUAAUAUUAAAUCCUCCAUAUCCAUAUAAUAAACAUGGGUGUGAUCCAUCAAAGGAAAUGUCCUUUCCAGCCACAAUGAACAUAGGAAUCUUGACACCGUCCUUACUGGGCACAAAAACCUGAUUAACUUGAAAAUCAGUAUGAUCAAAGCCAGGGACAACAGUUUCUCGAAAUACUUUCAAAUUCGGAACCUCUUCAUUGAGAUUACACUCAUAUAUAAUUCCAGGGAUUAGGAAGUUUGUAAAUCCAAUAAAAAAAGUAUCGUCUUUGCGGCGAGCAGAAAUUCCAGACACUGAGCCAAUAUCAAUGGGUAAAUGAUGAAGCAGUGCUCCUGCUUUC
rnacentral:misc_RNA from 1 species